rnacentral:misc_RNA from 1 species
GCUAACACCAUGUAAUAAUGAGAAUAAACAUCAGUACGAUCUCAACAUUCAUUUUUAUUAGUACCCAGAACGAAAUUUGCAUAAUCUCAUGGGUAGACAAGCUAAAGGAAUUUAAAUUCCUCUUGGAAAUUUUGUAUUCACACAACGUAACGUAUUAUUUUAUCCAUGAAAAGUAUCACAGUUGUCUUUACAUUAUUACUGGAAGAGGAUGCACCUGGUAGGUGAACCAUCUCCAUGAACCAGCCUCAACGGUAGACAGUGAAUUGUAUAAACUCCUGGGACUGCAUCAUCGAGGUUGAGACCUUCCACUGGAAUAAUAUCUUUAGAAUUAAGAAGAUGUUGAUGAACUUUAAGGAGCUCAUCCUUGGGACUAAUGGCAACAGAUAAGUAAUCAACACCAACGAGUUUGAUGUCAGUAUUCUGGGCCAAAUACUCUGCUCCGUCUGAGGUGAAUGCAGAAUACGACGAAUCAUAUUCUUUCUUGUACAUCAGCCUCCUGUCUGUGUUUGAUGUUCGAAAAAGAACACGUUUCACUCCUCGAGGUAUGUUCAAUGACCUCAUAACUUCAUCUGUAAUAUUCUUGUUCCGUGGAGUAUCUACUACAAGAACUGGACCAUUCAAAGUUUGGAGAUGAAGUGAAACAACAUCGUAACCCGACUCGAAUAAUGUCUCAUUGAAAUGUCCAGGAGCAUCAACGUGUGUACCAGAAUGAGUAGUAAGUUUAAAAACAGAAAAAUUAUACAGAUCACCCAACUUAAUGCUAGUCUUAAGUUUUAUAUAGUUUCCAAGUCCACUUUUGGAAUCAUAAGCAGGCAAAUCAGGAACAUACUUGUGGCUAAUGUCAAUCACUUUCUUUUUCAUAUAAUUUCUCUCUUCUCUCGUGAUUUUUUGUAGAUCUAAUCUGCUCGCUGCCUCAGAGGCGCUUGCCACACAGACUAGUGUCAGUACGGCAGCAAGCAGAAGGAGAAGGGAGUACUGUGAAUUGUUGGGAUUAGUCAUGGAGAUGAUUGAUUGGAGAAGAGUUUUAAGUGGAUAAAAGGGGAAGGAGAGAUUUAAGGGCCUGUUUGGAUCUAUUUACUUUUAAAUAGUUU